rnacentral:lncRNA from 1 species
UGAUCAACCUAUGUUCUACCAUUCAUAUCUAUUAGAUUUACCUUUAUAUGCAAUCAACGCUUCAUGUUAGGAUAGAUUCAUUAGACUAGAUAGAAAACCCUAGCCAGUUCACUGCCAAUCCACGGAUUGAUAAACCUUGGAUGGAAUACUCUAAUAGAGAAGCUACGAUGAUUCGUGAGCUUGCGGUUCAUAAAUUGGCGUGCUACUACCGUCAACAAGCUUUUCUGGUACCGUUGCUA